AUUGAACGCUGGCGGCAGGCCUAACACAUGCAAGUCGAACGGUAACAGGAAGAAGCUUGCUUCUUUGCUGACGAGUGGCGGACGGGUGAGUAAUGUCUGGGAAACUGCCUGAUGGAGGGGGAUAACUACUAGAAACGGUAGCUAAUACCGCAUAACGUCGCAAGACCAAAGAGGGGGACCUUCGGGCCUCUUGCCAUCGGAUGUGCCCAGAUGGGAUUAGCUAGUAGGUGGGGUAACGGCUCACCUAGGCGACGAUCCCUAGCUGGUCUGAGAGGAUGACCAGCCACACUGGAACUGAGACACGGUCCAGACUCCUACGGGAGGCAGCAGUGGGGAAUAUUGCACAAUGGGCGCAAGCCUGAUGCAGCCAUGCCGCGUGUAUGAAGAAGGCCUUCGGGUUGUAAAGUACUUUCAGCGGGGAGGAAGGGAGUAAAGUUAAUACCUUUGCUCGUUGACGUUACCCGCAGAAGAAGCACCGGCUAACUCCGUG
rnacentral:rRNA from 1 species